rnacentral:rRNA from 1 species
GACGAACGCUGGCGGCGUGCUUAACACAUGCAAGUCGAACGGAGCGAAUGAAAGCUUGCUUUUAUAAGCUUAGUGGCAAACGGGUGAGUAACACGUAGACAACCUGCCGACAGGAUGGGGACAACAUUCCGAAAGGAAUGCUAAUACCGAAUGAAGUCGAGGGAAGGCAUCUUCCUUCGAUGAAAGAUGGCCUCUAUAUAUAAGCUAUCACCUGUUGAUGGGUCUGCGUCUGAUUAGCUGGUAGGUGAGGUAACGGCUCACCUAGGCGACGAUCAGUAGCCGGUCUGAGAGGAUGAACGGCCACAUUGGGACUGAGACACGGCCCAGACUCCUACGGGAGGCAGCAGUGGGGAAUCUUCCGCAAUGGGCGCAAGCCUGACGGAGCAACGCCGCGUGAGUGAAGAAGGUCUUCGGAUCGUAGAGCUCUGUUGAUGGGGACGAACGUGCCUAAUGCGAAUA